UACGAAGGGGGGCUAGCGUUGCUCGGAAUCACUGGGCGUAAAGCGUGCGCAGGCGGUUUUGUAAGCCAGAUGUGAAAGCCCCGGGCUCAACCUGGGAAUGGCAUUUGGGACUGCAAGGCUGGAGUUUGGCAGAGGAGACUGGAAUUCCUGGUGUAGCAGUGAAAUGCGUAGAUAUCAGGAGGAAUACCGAUGGCGAAGGCAGGUCUCUGGGCUAUAACUGACGCUCAUGCACGAAAGCGUGGGGAGCAAACAGG
rnacentral:rRNA from 1 species